CCUACGGGGUGCUGCAGUGGGGAAUAUUGCACAAUGGGGGAAACCCUGAUGCAGCAACGCCGCGUGAGUGAAGAAGUAUUUCGGUAUGUAAAGCUCUAUCAGCAGGGAAGAAGAUGACGGUACCUGAUUAAGAAGCCCCGGCUAACUACGUGCCAGCAGCCGCGGUAAUACGUAGGGGGCAAGCGUUAUCCGGAUUUACUGGGUGUAAAGGGAGCGCAGACGGCAGUGCAAGUCUGGAGUGAAAGCCCGGGGCCCAACCCCGGAACUGCUCUGGAAACUGUGCGGCUAGAGUACUGGAGGGGCAGGCGGAAUUCCUAGUGUAGCGGUGAAAUGCGUAGAUAUAUGGAAGAACACCAGUGGCGAAGGCGGCCGCCUGGCCUGUUAACUGACGCUGAGGCACGAAAGCGUGGGGAGCAAAUAGGAUUAGAUACCCCUGUAGUC
rnacentral:rRNA from 1 species